UGGCCCUUCGCUGUAUUAUUGGUUAGAGAAUUCUGGUGGUUUACCUUCCCUUUGGGCGAAGGCAUUUCUUCUCACCUUUGCCCUGCAUAGCUUAACCAUUAUUUAGAUAUUGUGUAACUUUAUUCUGGACACUUGGCUAGGAAAACAUCAACAUCUGGCAGACUUCUUCAGAUAAUUUCACAUAGGUUAUCUUCUAUUUUUCUCAUCUCUGGAGGAUCGGUUUAGGACAGCGCACAAAGAACAUCCCUUGUACAGCAUGUUAAAAUCUGAAAUGCACCGCUGUGGAUGUGGUGGAGGCAAGUUCCACUGUGGUCUCAAAAAGAACUGGCGAGGGAAAGUUUGCAAAUCGACAGAGAAGUGGCUGGCUGGUG